UACGUAGGGGGCAAGCGUUGUCCGGAUUUAUUGGGCGUAAAGAGCGUGUAGGCGGCUGGGUAGGUCCGUUGUGAAAACUCGAGGCUCAACCUCGAGACGCCGAUGGAAACCCCCCAGCUAGAGUCCGGAAGAGGAGAGUGGAAUUCCUGGUGUAGCGGUGAAAUGCGCAGAUAUCAGGAAGAACACCCGUGGCUAAGGCGGCUCACUGGCCCGAUACUGACGCUGAGGCACGAAAGCGUGGGGAGCAAACAGG
rnacentral:rRNA from 1 species